CUAACAAGGAUUCCCCUAGUAACUGCGAGUGAAGCGGGAAAAGCUCAAAUUUAAAAUCUGGCGGUCUUGGGCCGUCCGAGUUGUAAUCUAGAGAAGUGUUAUCCGCGCUGGACCGUGUACAAGUCUCCUGGAAUGGAGCGUCAUAGAGGGUGAGAAUCCCGUCUUUGACACGGACUACCAGGGCUUUGUGAUGCGCUCUCAAAGAGUCGAGUUGUUUGGGAAUGCAGCUCAAAAUGGGUGGUAAAUUCCAUCUAAAGCUAAAUAUUGGCGAGAGACCGAUAGCGAACAAGUACCGUGAGGGAAAGAUGAAAAGAACUUUGGAAAGAGAGUUAAACAGUACGUGAAAUUGCUGAAAGGGAAACGCUUGAAGUCAGUCGCGUUGUCCAGGGAUCAACCUUGCUUUUGCUUGGCGUACUUCCUGGUUGACGGGUCAGCAUCAAUUUUGACCGUUGGAAAAAGUUCAAAGGAAUGUGGCAUCCUUCUGGAUGUGUUAUAGCCCUUGAUCGUAUACAACGGUUGGGAUUGAGGAACUCAGCACGCCGAAAGGCCGGGUUUUUAACCACGUUCGUGCUUAGGAUGCUGGCAUAAUGGCUUUAAUCGACCCGUCUUGAAACACGGACCAAGGAGUCUAACAUGCCUGCGAGUGUUUGGGUGGAAAACCCGAGCGCGCAAUGAAAGUGAAAGUUGAGAUCCCUGUCGUGGGGAGCAUCGACGCCCGGACCAGACCUUUUGUGACGGAUCCGCGGUAGAGCAUGUAUGUUGGGACCCGAAAGAUGGUGAACUAUGCCUGAAUAGGGUGAAGCCAGAGGAAACUCUGGUGGAGGCUCGUAGCGAUUCUGACGUGCAAAUCGAUCGUCAAAUUUGGGUAUAGGGGCGAAAGACUAAUCGAACCAUCUAGUAGCUGGUUCCUGCCGAAGUUUCCCUCAGGAUAGCAGAAACUCAUGUCAGAUUUAUGUGGUAAAGCGAAUGAUUAGAGGCCUUGGGGUUGAAACAACCUUAACCUAUUCUCAAACUUUAAAUAUGUAAGAACGAGCCGUCUCUUAGUUGGACCGCUCGGCGAUUGAGAGUUUCUAGUGGGCCAUUUUUGG
rnacentral:rRNA from 1 species